rnacentral:rRNA from 1 species
AUUGAACGCUGGCGGCAGGCCUAACACAUGCAAGUCGAGCGAGCGGCGGACGGGUGAGUAAUGUCUGGGAAACUGCCGGAUGGAGGGGGAUAACAACUGGAAAAGGUAGCUAAUACCGCAUACCAUCAGAUGUGCCCAGGUGGGAUUAGCUGGUAGGUGGGGUAACGGCGCACCUGGGCGACGAGCCCUAGCUGGUCUGAGAGGAUGACCAGCCACAUUGGAACUGAGACACGGUCCAGACUCCUACGGGAGGCAGCAGGGGGGAAUAUUGCACAAUGGGCGAAAGCCUGAUGCAGCCAUGCCGCUGGUGUGAAGAAGGCCUUCGGGUGGUAAAGCACUUUCAGCGGGGAGGCGGUACCCGCAGAAGAAGCACCGGCUAACUCCGUGCCAGCAGCCGCGGUAAUUC